rnacentral:lncRNA from 1 species
AUGACCGAAACCACCAGGAUGCCCGGACUGGGACAGAUCCCCCCCGACCACUCAGCCUCACAGAGGAACUGCCCCUGCUCACACCUUGGACUGGGACAGAUUCCCCCUCAGCCUCACAGAGGAACUGCCCCUGCUCACACCUUGGACUGGGACAGAUUCCCCCUCAGCCUCACAGAGGAACUGCCCCUGCUCACACCCUGGACUGGGACAGAUCCCCCCCGACCACCCAGCCUCACAGAGGAACUGCCCCUGCUCACACCCUGGACUGGGACAGAUUCCCCCCGACCACCCAGCCUCACAGAGGAACUGCCCCUGCUCACACCCCGGACUGGGACAGAUCCCCCCUCAGCCCACAGAGGAACUGCCCCUGCUCACACCCUGACUGGGACAGAUUCCCUCAGCCUCACAGAGAGGAACUGCCCCUGCUCACGCCUUGGACUGGGACAGAUCCCCCCCGACCACCCAGCCUCAUACAGAGGAACUGCCCCGCUCACACCUCCUGGACUGACAGAUCCCCCUCAGCCCCCACAGAGGAACUGCCCUGCUCACACCCUUCUGGACUGGGACACAGAUUCCUCUGACCACUCCAGCCUCACAGGAGGAACUGCCUCCUGCUCACACCCUGACCGGGACAGAUCCCUCAGCCUCACAGAGGAACUGCCCCCUCGCUCACACCCCUGGACUCGGGACAGAUUCCCCUCAGCCUCACAGAGGAACUGCCCCUGCUCACGCCUUGGACUGGGACAGAUCCCCCCCGACCACCCAGCCUCACAGAGGAACUGCCCCUGCUCACGCCUUGGACUGGGACAGAUCCCCCCCGACCACCCAGCCCCCACAGAGGAACUGGGUUCUGCUCACACCUCCUGACUGGGACAGAUCCCCCCGACCACCCAGCCUCACAGAGGAACUGCCCCUGCUCACACCCUGGACUGGGACAGAUUCCCCUCAGCCUCAGAGGAACUGCCCCUGGCUCACCCCUGGACUGGGACAGAUUCCCCCCCCGACCACCCAGCCUCACAGAAGGAACUGAUCCUGCUCAUGCCUUGAUCUUGGACUUCAGGUCUCCAGAAUCGUGAGACAAUAGACUUCGGUUUCAGACAGCCAGUCUGCGGGACUUUGUCAUGGCAGCCCUAGGAACAGGGAAAAGCAGACCCCUUCCGCGUGCCAGGCGCCCUGUGCAUGAGCAGACGUGUGCACUGGGCCGCCUGACUGUAACACAGGAAUUAACCAAUCUGCAGAUGAGAAAACAGGCUCCUGGGUAUGGAGCCUGGAAACAGGAUUUGAAGGUGGAGACAGGAGUGUAACAUGAUUUCAGGCCCUGGAGCUGAUGGUCUUUGAUCCUUCCCUCUCUUUUUUUUUUUUGAGACAGAGUCUUGCUCUGUUGCCCAGGCUGGAGUGCAGUGGUGCGAUCUCCACUCACUGCAAGCUCUGCUUCCCGGGUUCACACCAUUCUCCUGCCUCAGCCUCCUGUGUAGCUGGGACUACAGGCGCCCGCCACCACGCCCGGCUCAUUUUCUUAAAAUGUAUUUUUAGUAGAGAUGGGGUUUCACCGUGUUAGCCAGGAGGGUCUCGAUCUCCUGACCUCGUGAUCCGCCCGUCUCAGCCUCCCAAAGUGCUGGGAUUACAGGCCUGAGCCACCGCACCCGGCCUGAUCCUUCCCUCUCUAAAGCUGAAGCUACUGCUUGUGGGUGGGGGGACCUGGAUCUUGGAGGCGGGCACUGGAGGGGACCCAUAAGCCUGGAGCCGGCGGGGCUGGGUGGGGGUUUAUUUAUGUUUGCUUGUUUCCAAACUCCAGAGUCGCUGAGGCAUGCUUUACACACAGCAACAUUCGCCUUUCAUACACCUUCUGUGGGUUUUGGAAAACAGUUCAUGGUCAUGUAACUGACAAGGCACUGGAGAUACAGAACGGUUCUCUUACCCACAAAGUUCCCUGAAACCCUUGGGUAGUCAGUUCCUUAUCCAAACCCCAGCCUGUGGCCACGCUGACCUAUUUUUGUCCCUGUAGUUCUGUCUUUUCUGAAAUGUCAUAUGAAGGAAUCGUGCAGUGCAUCGGCUUUUAAAUCUGGCUUUUUUCACAUGCAGUGUGCUCUGGGAUUCUUCUGUUUCACUGUGUGUGUCAAGAGCUUGCUCCUUUUUUAUGACUGGGAAGUAUUCCAUUGCAUGGAACUUAUUUCGAGUUCGUUUUCAUGUGUGAUAUGAGGUGAAGGUCUAAGGGGUUUCUCUUUUUUUGCCUAUGGAUACUUCAUUGUUCCAGCACCACUUGGAGGCUGAGGCAGGCAGAUCACCUGAGGUCAGGAGUUCGAGACCAGCCUGACCAACAUGCCGAAACACUAUCUCUACUAAAUAUACAAAAAUUAGCCGAGUAUGGUGGCUCACGCCUGUAAUCCCAGCUGCUUGGGAGGCGGAGGCAGGAGAAUGGCUUGAAUUUAAUCACUGAUUAAAUUGCAUUGGCAUUAAAAAGUAUGAGUUUAGACUCUUAGCCCUACUCGGUUGACCUGUAUGUCUAUCCCUACUGCAAUACUUCUAUGUCUGGCCAGGCACGGUGGGUCACACCUGUAAUCCCAGCACUCUGGGAGGUGGAGGCGAGCAGAUCACCUGAGGUCAGGAGUUCAAGACCAGCCUGGAAAAUCUGGUGGAACCCCAUCUCUACUAAAAAUGCAAACAAAUUUAGCCGGCAUGGUGGUGUGCACCUGUAAUCCCAGCUACUCGGGAGGCUGAGGCAGGAGAAUCACUUGAACCCAGGAGGCAGAGGCUGCAGUGAGCCGAGAUCUUGCCACUGCACUCCAGCUUGGGAGACACAGCAAGAUUCCAUCUCAAAACAAACAAACAAACAAACAAACACAAAAAAGCAAACAAACAAAAAAUUACCUUGUCUUAAUUAGUGAGCAUUAUCAUAGGUUUCAAAACCUGGUGAUGCAAAUCCUCCAAUUGUGAUCUUUUCAAAAUUGUUUAAGGCAUUGUGGAUCCUCUCUAUCUCCAUAUGCAUUUUAUGAUCAGCUUUUCAGUUUCUUCAAAAUUGACUGUUGGGAAUUUGAUAAGAGUAUGUGUUGACUAUAUUCCAAUUGACUCAAAUUGCCCC